rnacentral:lncRNA from 1 species
AUCCAAUUAGAAGUUAGAGGCCUGUAGAUUCCAGGUGGAGGACUUUGGGAUGGGGUGGAGGAGAGAAUAGAACUGCUGUUCUUGAACAUUAAAACACAUUGUUUUAAGCAUCAUCUAUGAAAACAACAGGAGCAUCAAAUAACACUGAAACCUACUCUGGUCCCUUUUUGGAAAAGAUGGAUGUUUGUUUCACUCUUCUCUCUUAAAUGCAUCUGAAAGGGGUGGGGCACUUACAGAAUUUCUUCUUGGAACCACCAGUUGAAUAUAAGAAGUUCGAUAAAAAGCAGACUAAAAUCCCUCUCACAAAGACAUCUAUUCUGAAACCAAACUCAAGAUCCCCCAAACGAUCUUCUAUUAGGUGUCAUACAGGUGGUGAAUGAAGAUGACUGUUUAUUUCUAAAACUGCAGACCAACAUUAAGUUGUCUAGGGUCUUUGACACCCAAAUUUUGUCCCAUCCCGUGUAUAAGAUGACUGCCCAAUUAUCAGCCAACUGGCAAUGAAACUUCUGCAAAACCAAAAGUCUCUUGGGAUUUUCCUCUGAACAUUGCUAUUGUCAGAGACACAACCACAUAACUUCUGCCUGAAAAGUACAAUCUUUUAGCACUCCAGCAUUUGAAGGCAAAGCAAAUAAACCUCAGAGGCUUUCUAAUUUUAGCCACUCUUGUGCACUCUUUAUUCCAGUAUUAUCAUAAUAGGGAAGUAGAUGGACUAAGAUUCUAUCAACCUCAAAACUCUACAUUUUGAUGUUUUUG